ensembl:lncRNA
CAGUGAUCAAUAAAUUAAAUGAUAUAUUCAACAUUUUAAUUUAAAAAUAAGCUUUGUGUUAAAUGAGUUUGCCUAACUGUAAGCCAGUGUAACUGUUCUGAGCUGAUUUAAGGUAGGCUAGACUGAGCUAUGAUGUUCAGUAAGUUAGUUGUAUUACAUGCAGAUUUGACUUAAAAUAUUUUCAACUUAUGAUGGGUUUAUUGGGACAAAAAACCAUCACAAGUCGAGGGAGAUCUGUAAUAGGAAAACAUAUGAAAGUAUAAAUAACAGCCGCUCAGUCAUGUCUAACUCUUUGCAACCCCAUGGACUGUAGCCUGCCAGGCUCCCCUGUCCAUGGAAUUCUCCAGGCAAGAAUACUGGAGUGGAUUGCCAUUUCCACUCCAAAAGAUAAAGGGAUAAGAAUCUAAGCAUACUACUACAGAAAGUCAUCAAAUCACAAAGCAAGUGAGUGAGAGAAGAAAAAAGAAACAGACGAGCCACAAAACAGCAGGAAAUGGCAAAAUGGUACUAAAUACAAACCUAUCAAUAAUUACUUCCUUUUUAAAAUGUUUAUGUAUAUAUGUAAAUAGUUGAUUUACAAUAUUAUAUAAGUUUUACUAUACAACACAGUGAUUCACAGUGUUUUUUUGUUUUGUUUUGUUUUUCGGCUGUACCACAUGGCAUAUGGGGUCUUAGUUCCAGAACCGAGGAUUGAAUCUGUGCCCCCUGCAGUGGAAGCACAGAUUCUUAAUCGCUGAACCACUGGGAAAUCCCCAGACGUUUGUUUUUCAAAACCUACCAGGAGGAAGCAUGAACGCAGUUCCUCCCUACUACAAAUUAUGCAGCCGAGUUCCCCACGUUUGGGGAAAUGGCAGGGGUCAGCACACCUGGAGUGCAAUGGAUGAGCCUUGCCCUGGGAAAACCACCUUCAUGCUCAUGGUAUCUCCCCUGCUGGUGGAUUCUUUACCGGUUGAGUCACCAGGGAAAUCCAAGAAUACUGAAGUGGAUUCUUUACCAGCUGAGCUACCAGAGAAGCCCAACUAUGGUUCAGUCGUGUCCGACUCUGUGCAACCCCAGAGACAGCAGCCCACCAGGUGCCCCCGUCCCUAGGAUUCUCCAGCUAACCCACAAUGUGACACGUAUGUAUAUACAAAGUGACACGUAUGUAUAUAAACCUUAAAUUGUUUAAGAUCUAAGUGAGCUGUGUUACUGCAUUAUGGGGAACAACAUUAACGAGUAUAUUUCAUGUCUGUUUCACAGCUAACUACUACUGUAUUUCCAGAUGAGCCAAUAUUUCCACGUGACAGAUACACAUCUCUUUUUCUCUUAAUUACUCCACCAAUGCUGAGUGUUAUAAUUAUCACUUGGGCCAACGGCAAAUACCCUCAUUUAUUUACUUUGAAAUGAUACAAUCCAGGGAGGAAAAAAAUCCUCAUUCGAACACGGUAUUUUUUGUUUUAGUAACAACUGGGUAUAUUUCUGUUUGCAGCAAACCCUUACUCAAAAGAAGAAAUGGUUCAUCUUUACAUUCCACUUUUUAAGCAGCAGCACCGUUUCCAAGCUGCCACAGCUGUGACUUGCAGUGAGUCAGCUCUAUCCCCCGUACGCCUCAGCUUCUAAAUAUGUAAAGUGACAAAGCCAGAUCUGGGUUUAAGGAGACCAAAGAGAUGUAAACAUUAAUUCCAGGGCAGAAGACCUGAAUAUACAUUUUUCCAAAGAAGACAUAGAAAUGGCUAUUUGGCAUGUGAAAAGAUACUCAGCAUCACUAAUCACUGCAUGUGUGCUCAGCCACUUCAGUCGUGUCUGACUCUUUGUGACCCUGUGGACUGUAGCCCACCAGGCUCCUCUGUCCAUGGAAUUCUCCAGGCAAGAAUACUGGAGUGGGUUGCCAUGCCCUACUCCAGGGGAUCUUCCCAACCCAGGGAUCAAACCUGCAUCUCUUACGUCUCCUGCAUUGACAGGUGGAUUCUUUACCACUAGUGCCACCUGGGAAGCCCCACUAAUCAUUACAGAAUCAUUAUAGAAAUGUAAAUUAAAACCACAGUGAGAUAUCACCUCACACCUGUCAGAAUAGCUAUCAUCAAAAGUAUAGUACAGAUAACAAAUUUUGACAAGGACGUGGAGAAAAGGGAAUACUUGUGCGUUGUUGGCGGGAAUGUAAACUAGUGCAGCCGUUGUGGAAAACGGUAUGGCAGCGUCUCAAAAAAACUGUAUAUAUAUAUUGCUGUAUGACUCAGCAGUUCCACUCCUGGAUUUACAUCCAAAGAAAACAAAAACACUAAUUCAAAAAGACAUGCAUCCCGAUGUUCAUAGCAGCAUUAUUUGUAACAGCCAAGAUAAGGAAACAACCUACAUGUCCAUCAAUAGAUGAAUGAAUGAAGAAGAUGUGGUCCACGUAUACACAAUGGAACACUACCCAGCCAUACAAGAAGAAGGAAAUUCUGCCAUCUGCACCAACAUGAAUGGACGGCGGCACGCCAGGUUUCCCCUGUCCUUCACAAUCUUCUGGAGUUUGCUCAAACUUGUGACCACUGAGUCGGUGAUGCCAUCCAACCAUCUCAUCUUCUGUCAUCCCCUUCUCCUCCUGCCUUCAGUCUUUCCCAGCAUCAGGGUCUUCUCCAAUGGGUUGGCUCUUCGCAUCAGGUGGUCAGAGUAUUGGAACUUCAGCUACAGUCCUUCCAAUGAAUAUUCAGGGUUGAUUUCCUUUAGGAUUGACUGGUUUGAUCUCCUUGAUGUCCAAGGGAUUCGUCAAAUAUAUGUAGAAUCUAAGAAAUAAAGCAAACAAGUGUAUAACAAAACAGAUGCAGAGAACAAAGUAGUGGUUACUAGUGGGGAUAAAGAGGGGAAGGGGCAUGGGAUUAAGAGGUUCAAACUACUGUGUAUGAAAUAAAUAAGCAACAAGUAUAUAUUAUACAACACAGAGAAAUAUAGGCGUUAUUUUGUAAUACCAAAUGGAACAUAAUUUGUAAAAAAAUUGAAUUACUAUGUUGAACAUGUAUAACUAAGAAAAUACUGUAAAUAAACUAUACUUUGAUUUUUAAAGAAUUUUAAAAAA